GUGAGGAAUUUUCCGCAAUGGGCGAAAGCCUGACGGAGCAAUGCCGCGUGAAGGAUGAAGGCCUAUGGGUUGUAAACUUCUUUUCUCAGAAAAGAAUUAUGACGGUAUCUGAGGAAUAAGCAUCGGCUAACUCUGUGCCAGCAGCCGCGGUAAGACAGAGGAUGCAAGCGUUAUCCGGAAUGAUUGGGCGUAAAGCGUCUGUAGGUUGUUUAAAAAGUAUUCUGUCAAAGAUUAGGGCUUAACCCUAGAUAGGCAGAAUAAACUUUUAAGCUAGAGUUUGGUAGAGGCAGAGGGAAUUCCCUGUGGAGCGGUGAAAUGCGUAGAUAUCGGGAGGAACACCAAAGGCGAAGGCACUCUGCUGGGCCAAUACUAACACUGAGAGACGAAAGCGAGGGGAGCAAAUGGGAUUAGAUACCCUGGUAGUCC
rnacentral:rRNA from 1 species